GGGAUAGCUCCAUUGGUCAGAGCAUGGUGUUGAUAAUACCAAGGUUGCAGGUUCAAUCCCCGUAUGGGGCAGUUGGACCA